rnacentral:rRNA from 1 species
GACGAACGCUGGCGGCGUGCUUUACACAUGCAAGUCGAACGGUGAAGGUGGAGCUUGCUCCGCCGGAUCAGUGGCGAACGGGUGAGUAACACGUGAGUAACCUGCCCUUGACUCUGGGAUAACUGCGGGAAACUGUAGCUAAUACCGGAUACGACCCUCGGCGGCAUCGCCAGGGGGUGGAAAGAAUUUCGGUCAAGGAUGGACUCGCGGCCUAUCAGCUAGUUGGUGAGGUAACGGCUCACCAAGGCGACGACGGGUAGCCGGCCUGAGAGGGUGACCGGACACACUGGGACUGGGACACGGCCCAGACUCCUACGGGAGGCAGCAGUGGGGAAUAUUGCACAAUGGGCGCAAGCCUGAUGCAGCAACGCCGCGUGAGGGAUGACGGCCUUCGGGUUGUAAACCUCUUUUAGUAGGGAAGAAGCGAAAGUGACGGUACCUGCAGAAAAAGCACCGGCUAACUACGUGCCAGCAGCCGCAGUAA